rnacentral:rRNA from 1 species
AGAGUUUGAUCAUGGCUCAGGAUGAAUGCUGGCGGCGUGCCUAAUACAUGCAAGUCGAGCGGUAAGGCCCUUCGGGGUACACGAGCGGCGGACGGCUGAGUAACGCGUGGGAACAUGCCCCAAAGUGAGGGAUAACGCACCGAAAGGUGUGCUAAUACCGCAUAUGGUCUUCGGAUUAAAGGAUUUAUCCGCUUUAGGAGUGGCCCGCGUACGAUUAGAUUGUUGGUGAGGUAACGGGCUCACCAAGUCGACGAUCGUUAACUGGUCUGAGAGGAUGAUCAGUCAGACUGGAACUGAGACACGGUCCAGACUCCUACGGGAGGCAGCAGUAAGGAAUCUUCCACAAUGGGCGAAAGCCUGAUGGAGCAACGCCGCGUGCAGGAUGAAGGCCCUCGGGUCGUAAACUACUUUUAUGAGUGAAGAAUAUGACGGUAACUCAUGAAUAAGCACCGGCUAACUACGUG